rnacentral:rRNA from 1 species
UAUGUAGGGUGCAAGCGUUGUCCGGAAUUAUUGGGCGUAAAGAGCUCGUAGGCGGUCUGUCGCGUCGGCUGUGAAAUCCCGAGGCUCAACCUCGGGUCUGCAGUCGAUACGGGCAAACUAGAGUAUUGCAGGGGAGACUGGAAUUCCUGGUGUAGCGGUGAAAUGCGCAGAUAUCAGGAGGAACACCGGUGGCGAAGGCGGGUCUCUGGGCAAUAACUGACGCUGAGGAGCGAAAGCGUGGGGAGCGAACAGG